UACGGAGGGGGCUAGCGUUGUUCGGAAUUACUGGGCGUAAAGCGCACGUAGGUGGCUUUGUAAGUUAGAGGUGAAAGCCCGGGGCUCAACUCCGGAAUUGCCUUUAAGACUGCAUCGCUAGAACGUCGGAGAGGUAAGUGGAAUUCCGAGUGUAGAGGUGAAAUUCGUAGAUAUUCGGAAGAACACCAGUGGCGAAGGCGACUUACUGGACGACUGUUGACACUGAGGUGC
rnacentral:rRNA from 1 species